UACACCACAGGAUGUUAUGAAAGUGAAAACAUGGAGUAUGAUUUCAAGACUUGCUGCUAUCGAAUACAGAUCGCCCCGUGAUCAAUUUGAUAGAUUAUUAAUGUUUAUUAAUACCUAAAGUUGGUUUAGAUAAGUAGUUUGAAGUGAUUUGUAAAAGUAUAUAGGCAACUUUUGUAAUUUUAAAAAGUGACGUUGCGUCUUGUAAAGGGGCAUUUUUCUGGAUCAGACCGGUCUUCAGCAAAUCAGAUUUUGGGUAUACAAUGACGGAUUUAAUCGGGAAAAAGACCCAAUUGUGAUGUUUAUGUGACAUAUAGGAGUGCCAAGAAAGAAGCUCAUCAAAGGCUCAGGAGAGGUGAAGUCAUGUG
ensembl:lncRNA